UAAAAACCAUUACAAAAAUAUAAGAUAAGAGACUGAUCACAUAAAACGAAUGCAAACUUUAACAUCAUGUAGGCACCAAUGUCAAAAUGAUAAUGACACUACAGAAGUAUUGGAUCCAGAUUUAGUGAGGAAAAAGAAAAUAGGAAAUCAAAAUCAAAAUCGAAAAGUUAGACGAUUCAGCUAUUCGGAUCAUUGGAUCAUCUAUCUUUUCAUUUUCCUAACUAAAUUAUUGAUCCAAACACAACGUUAGAGAAUUCUCAAAGUACUGUAAUGCAUAAGAACGAUAAGCUACCCCUGAAAUGACUUUGUCCUCAUAGAAGCUAUAGUUUUGGAGCUAGAAAUUGCUCCUCUUAGUAUUGCCAGAGUAUUUUCU
rnacentral:lncRNA from 1 species